rnacentral:rRNA from 1 species
AGUGAACGCUGGCGGUAGGCCUAACACAUGCAAGUCGAACGGCAGCACAGGAGAGCUUGCUCUCUGGGUGGCGAGCGGCGGACGGGUGAGGAAUACAUCGGAAUCUACUCUGUCGUGGGGGAUAACGUAGGGAAACUUACGCUAAUACCGCAUACGACCUACGGGUGAAAGCAGGGGAUCUUCGGACCUUGCGCGAUUGAAUGAGCCGAUGUCGGAUUAGCUAGUUGGCGGGGUAAAGGCCCACCAAGGCGACGAUCCGUAGCUGGUCUGAGAGGAUGAUCAGCCACACUGGAGCUGAGACACGGUCCAGACUCCUACGGGAGGCAGCAGUGGGGAAUAUUGGACAAUGGGCGCAAGCCUGAUCCAGCCAUACCGCGUGGGUGAAGAAGGCCUUCGGGUUGUAAAGCCCUUUUGUUGGGGAAGAAAAGUAAUAAGUAAAUAAUUUGUUGCUCUGACGGUACCCAAAGAAUAAGCACCGGCUAACUCUGUGCCAGCCGCCGCCGUAA